GUUUUGUAUUAAUUGUUUGACCAAAGAAUAGAGGAUUAUGAUCUCCAUUCUUCGGUUUCACUUUGACGCCCUCAGCAAUUUAAUCUUGACGUAAUUUCAGAGUAACUAUUAUUGAUUAUUGACAUUCUCGACACUCCCCUGAAGGAGCUUUUCAGUGACAAAAAUUAUUAUUAUUUAUUAUUAUUAUUAAAGUCUUUAUUGUCUAGAGUCACAACAGACGUGCAACUUUACAAAUGUCAAAUUCCUAAUUAUUACAGUUAAAAUUGAUCUAUCCUAAUUAAUUAUAUGAAAGUUAAAAAUAGUUAAAAAGACAUCUAUUUAUGAAGGAUCGUUUAAAUCGUUCCGUUUUAAUUUGAGGUAAAAUAAAGUUAUGUUCCCUUUGUCUUAAAAUCCUUUGUUUACACACAGGAAGCAAUUCAUGUAGGGCAUGUUCUGGAUUCGAUACGAUUUUGCUAAAUAAUUUUCUGUCUCUCUCCUCGAUCACUUCAGAUAUCUUAAUACUCUUUGUCGUAUAUCCAUAACGAUAAGCCCGCCGGAAAAACUUGUCUAUA